CUUUGAGAACUUGAGUCUACAAUUUCUUGACAUUAAUUCAGUACACUUCAAGGGAGUUUUUCCAUCCCUUCCUUCUACGUUGAAGUGGUUCAGAUGGAAGAGUUGUCCUUUGCAUAGUCUACCGGCCAAUUUUUAUCAUGAGAGACUGGUUUAUCUUGACCUAUCAUGUAGCAUGAUUAAACAAGCUUGGAUUAGCAGGUCUCAAGAUGAAAAUAAGUUGUUCCAUGAUUUGAAAGUUCUCAUUCUUAGCUACUGCAUAUAUCUAGCUAAGUCCCCAGACUUUUCAUUGUUCCCUCACUUGGAGAGAUUAGAUCUUGGAAAUUGUAGAUCCUUGGAUAACUUAGACGACUCCAUUGGGCAGUUGAGUCAACUCAAAAUUCUUAUUCUUAAAUGUUGUGUUUCACUCAAGAGGUUGCCUGAUUCCAUUGGUGAUCUAAAAUCUCUGGUUCAACUUGACUUGUCGGGGUUAGGAAUUGAAGAACUCCCAGAUACUAUUUCCAAGUUGAUUUUUCUUGAAGAAAUGAAUAUUAGGGAUUGCAGAUCACUUGAGAAGUUUCCCGAUGGUGUUGGACUAUUAGAAAAGCUUGUGAUAUUAGAUGCUGAUAGUUGCGAUAACUUAGUGAAACUACCAACAUCAAUGAGGAGAAUGACGUGCUUGCGUAGAAUUAACUUAAAAGGAGAUGGUAUUUCAAACAUUCCUGAUGAUUUUUCAAUGCUCUUGAAUUUAAUGGAGCUUAAAAUGACUGCCACGCUUCAAUCCCUCCCAAUAGAUCUGUCACAUUGGAGAUAUUUAAAGCAAUUGAACCUUUUUAAGUGUGUGAAGUUGGAAUACCUCCCAAAGCUUCCAUUAAGUUUAGUUGAACUUUGUUGUGAAGAUUGCUUUUCAUUGGUUCAACUACCGGAUUUGUCAUUGUUGAAUAUUUUGGCAAUAUUAUGUCUUGAGGGUUGUGUGAACCUAGAGGAGAUUCGAGGCCUCGAGGGAAAACUAUCCUUGGUAGAAGUCAAUGCGCGAGGAUGCCAUAACUUGACCAUACCUCCAAGGAAAAUACUUGGCCAGGGUACCCUAUUACCCGAUAGGCCAUUGGGAAGUUUUUCCUUGACUGCCAUUGAUGGGAUCUAUAAAAAGAGGUUGAUUUUGUGCCUUGUUUUGGAGUUACCCUCUGAUUUUAGGUCACAAACCAUCUAUUGUGAUAUUUCUGCUUCUAUACGCCAAAGAGGCAAAACAACCAGCUGUGUUCAUACUCUGAGAAUUGAGGACGUUGAGUUCACUACUCAUCCACAUAUAAUCUAUCUUCAUCAUUUCAAAGGGUUUGAUUGGUUUGGGAUUCCGUUACACGGAAAAGAUGCAAUUGAGAAUUUACAUAUUCAUCAAUCCAACUUACGUCACCAGCUUUCUUUGGAUACUGAUGCGUCUAGAGCGUAUUGUAGAGUAAAAUUCUGGAAGCUUCUGUUAGAGAACAUGGAACCUUUCCAGCAAGAACGUAAUCGACAUUCGAUUGCAAUGAUGGUAGCAGAAUUCUUCAUUUGGAAAUUUGAGAACAGGGAAUCUGAGCAGGAAAAUCAUAAUCGACAUUCGAGUGACAAAUUGAUGGCAGCAGAUUUCUCCAAUUGGUCAUUUGAGAACAGGGAAUAUGAACACCAAAUGCUUAAUCAACAUUCAAGUGCCAUGAGGGUAGCAGAUUUCUUCGAUUGCCCAUAUGUUGGGGUUGGAGGAUCUAGGGCUACUGCGAGAUUAGUUCUUGAGAAUGAGGAGGAUGAGGAGGAUGAGGCAGCUUGUCCUUCUCCGGGUCAAGAGACAGAGACAGAGACAGAGACAGGGUUGAGCUCUAAUGGGAGUAUUCUCAUUGACAGUGACGAUGACGUGCUGUUGACUGCUAUUGCGAGAAUUGUUCUUGAAAACGAGGAAGAAGAGGGAGUCUCGAGGGCUAUGGAGAGACUUUUUCUUCGCAAGGAUGAUGAUGCAUCUGUUGUCUGUUGAUUCCGGAGCCAACACCAAUUCAAGCAGUUACAUUCUAAUAUAUAAUUAGGCCUUGUCCGCGCCACCCCCGCCCUGUUCUUUUGUGAGUCUCCAUCUCUGGUCCUUAAUAGCUGGGCUCAGAGAAACAAGAGAGGCUCGGGGGAUUGCUUCAUCGAGGACAAUCAGCUAUUGGGGUAUUGCUCCCCAGAUUGGUUUUGCAGGUAAUUGUUUCAUAAAUCUCUAGGGUUUCCAAUCUAUUAAUACUUAUCUGUCUCUCUCUCCUUCUUCUUCACAAGAAACAAGAGAGGCUCGGAGGAUUGCUUCAUCGAGGAGGAUGGUACGUGCAUGGUUUUACCUCUCUUCACUAUCUUGAGAAAAACAAGGAUAAUAUGAAGGAGAGAAAAUAGGGAUUUAAUUGGCUUCAUUGGGAGGUAGCCGAGCCUCUAUUCUCAAUAGAGAAUUUGUAGGG